rnacentral:rRNA from 1 species
GACGAACGCUGGUGGCGUGCUUAACACAUGCAAGUCGAACGGAAAGGCCCUGCUUUUGUGGGGUGCUCGAGUGGCGAACGGGUGAGUAACACGUGAGUAACCUGCCCUUGACUUUGGGAUAACUUCAGGAAACUGGGGCUAAUACCGGAUAGGAGCUCCUGCUGCAUGGUGGGGGUUGGAAAGUUUCGGCGGUUGGGGAUGGACUCGCGGCUUAUCAGCUUGUUGGUGGGGUAGUGGCUUACCAAGGCUUUGACGGGUAGCCGGCCUGAGAGGGUGACCGGCCACAUGGGGACUGAGAUACGGCCCAGACUCCUACGGGAGGCAGCAGUGGGGAAUAUUGCACAAUGGGCGGAAGCCUGAUGCAGCAACGCCGCGUGCGGGAUGACGGCCUUCGGGUUGUAAACCGCUUUCGCCUGUGACGAAGCGUGAGUGACGGUAAUGGGUAAAGAAGCACCGGCUAACUACGUG